UUACGGCCACACCACGUUGAAACACUGGUUCCCGUACGAUCACCGAAGUUAAACAAUGUCGAGCCUGGUCAGUAUCUAAAUGGGUGACCGCUUGAGAAUACCAGGUGUUAUAA